UUUUCGAGGUAAAUUGACCUCUUGGAAACUUAAUUGGGGGUAUUUCCGUCGCGUUGGUGCGCUCGGUUUGGUGAAACGAAAAGUCUACGCGAAGUUAUUAACGAAACGGUCGAUUUUGGUACAGAUAGCCGCAGCGCGCGAAAUAGACGUCUAAAAAUCAUGAGAUCGGAUCCGGAGUAUCGUGGAGUCGAGGAAUAAACUCCAGAAUUUUCAAAUCGCAGAUUGGUGGCCGUUCGGGUGGUCGCUCGAGAGCUCGGGCCAAAUCGGGUCACGGGUGCCGUAGGAGGCCGAUUGUAAGUGACGACAAGCAAUCGGAGCGUAUUUCGAGGUGGGUUGUGUUUACCGAAGCGACUAGGUCGCCUGUAUGUCUAAGAUACAUAUUUAUCAUUGAUGCACGUAGUGGUAGCUAGUGUUAGAACACAUGAAUACAUAAAAUGAAU
rnacentral:lncRNA from 1 species